rnacentral:rRNA from 1 species
GAUGAACGCUGGCGGCGUGCCUAAAACAUGCAAGUCGUGCGGCAGCGGGCCUUCGGGUGCCGGCGAGCGGCGGACGGGUGAGUAACGCGUAGGAACGUACCCCAAAGUGAGGGAUAAGCUCCGGAAACGGAGUCUAAUCCCGCAUAUGCCCUUAGGAGUAAAGGAGUAAUCCGCUUUGGGAGCGGCCUGCGUCCGAGUAGUUUGUUGGUGAGGUAAUGGCUUACCAAGACGAUGAUCGGUAGCUGGUUUGAGAGGAUGAUCAGCCACACUGGGACUGAGACACGGCCCAGACUCCUACGGGAGGCAGAAGUUAGGAAUUUUCCACAGUGGGGGCAACCCUGAUGGAGCAACGCCGCGUGCAGGAAGACGGCCUUCGGGUUGUAAACUGCUUUUAAAAGUGAAGAUUAUGACGGUAACUUUAGAAUAAGGAUCGGCUAACUCCGUGCCAGCAGCCGCCGUAA